AAUAGAUACCCCGGUAGUCCACGCCGUAAACGAUGAGUGCUAAGUGUUAGAGGGUUUCCGCCCUUUAGUGCUGCAGCUAACGCAUUAAGCACUCCGCCUGGGGAGUACGGUCGCAAGACUGAAACUCAAAGGAAUUGACGGGGGCCCGCACAAGCGGUGGAGCAUGUGGUUUAAUUCGAAGCAACGCGAAGAACCUUACCAGGUCUUGACAUCCCACUGACCGGUAUAGAGAUAUACCUUUCCCUUCGGGGACAGUGGUGACAGGUGGUGCAUGGUUGUCGUCAGCUCGUGUCGUGAGAUGUUGGGUUAAGUCCCGCAACGAGCGCGACCCUUGAUCUUAGUUGCCAGCAUUUAGUUGGGCACUCUAAGGUGACUGCCGGUGACAAACCGGAGGAAGGUGGGGAUGACGUCAAAUCAUCAUGCCCCUUAUGACCUGGGCUACACACGUGCUACAAUGGAUGGUACAAAGGGCUGCAAGACUGCGAAGUCAAGCCAAUCCCAUAAAAACCAUUCUCAGUUCGGAUUGCAGG
rnacentral:rRNA from 1 species